CUGCUGCCUUCCGUAGGAGUCUGGUCCGUGUCUCAGUACCAGUGUGGGGGACCUUCCUCUCAGAACCCCUACGCAUCGUCGCCUUGGUGGGCCGUUACCCCGCCAACAAGCUAAUGCGACGCAAGACCAUCCGUAGCCGGAAUCGCUUCCUUUAAACCCACAGAGAUGCCUCCAUGGGUUGUUACGCGGUAUUAGACGGAAUUUCUUCCGCUUAUCCCCCUGCUACGGGCAGGUUUCAUACGUGUUACUCACCCGUGCGCCGGUCGCCGGCGGGAG
rnacentral:rRNA from 1 species